AGAGUUUGAUCAUGGCUCAGGAUGAACGCUAGCGGCAGGCCUAACACAUGCAAGUCGAGGGGCAGCACGGGUGGCAACACCUGGUGGCGACCGGCGCACGGGUGCGUAACGCGUAUGAAACCUGCCCCCCGCUGGGGGAUAGCCCGUCGAAAGGCGGAUUAAUACCCCAUGGCUUCCCGGGACCGCAUGGUCCUGGGAGUAAAGCUUCGGCGGCGGGGGAUGGUCAUGCGUGCCAUUAGCUGGUUGGCGGGGUAACGGCCCACCAAGGCGAUGAUGGCUAGGGGGUCUGAGAGGAUAAUCCCCCACACUGGUACUGAGACACGGACCAGACUCCUACGGGAGGCAGCAGUGAGGAAUAUUGGUCAAUGGGCGAAAGCCUGAACCAGCCAUGCCGCGUGCAGGAAGACGGCCCUAUGGGUUGUAAACUGCUUUUGCGCAGGAAGAAUAACCCCCUCGUGAGGGGGGACGACGGUACUGCGCGAAUAAGGAUCGGCUAACUCCGUGCCAGCAGCCGCGGUAAUACGGAGGAUCCGAGCGUUAUCCGGAUUUACUGGGUUUAAAGGGUGCGUAGGCUGGCGCUUAAGUCAGCGGUGAAAGGCAGCGGCUCAACCGUUGGAUUGCCGUUGAAACUGGGCGCCUUGGAUUCGGUCGAGGUUGGCGGAAUGCGUGGUGUAGCGGUGAAAUGCUUAGAUAUCACGCGGAACGCCGAUUGCGAAGGCAGCUGACCAGACCUGAAUCGACGCUGAGGCACGAAAGCGUGGGGAUCAAACAGGAUUAGAUACCCUGGUAGUCCACGCCGUAAACGAUGAUCACUGGAUGCCGGCGACACACCGUCGGUGUCUGAGCGAAAGCAUUAAGUGAUCCACCUGGGGAGUACGAUCGCAAGGUUGAAACUCAAAGGAAUUGACGGGGGCCCGCACAAGCG
rnacentral:rRNA from 1 species